rnacentral:rRNA from 1 species
GAUGAACGCUAGCGGCAGGCCUAAUACAUGCAAGUCGGACGGGAUUGGAGAGCUUGCUUUCCAUGAGAGUGGCGCACGGGCGCGUAACACGUAUGUAACCUACCUUGUUCAGGGGGAUAGCCUCUCGAAAGAGAGAUUAAGACCGCAUAACAUCACGCUAUAGCAUUAUAAUGUGAUCAAAUAUUUAUAGGAACAAGAUGGGCAUGCGGAACAUUAGCUAGUUGGUAAGGUAAUGGCUUACCAAGGCUACGAUGUUUAGGGGAUCUGAGAGGAUCGACCCCCACAC